GAAUUCCUGUAAAUGUAGCAUUUUGAAUCAACUGUGAAUAAGGUUUGUUCAUCACAUUACCUGAAAAUUCUGACUUCACUUUUUUGAAAAAUGAAAUGGUCUUUACUUUUACUCCCGAUCAACAAUCAAAUAUCUUUUCUUGAAUUAUGAUCAAAAAAGGGAUUGAAAUAU